rnacentral:tRNA from 3 species
GUCGGAGUGGCGAAAUUGGUAGACGCGCAGGAUUUAGGAUCCUGUGGAGGCAACUCCUUGCAGGUUCAAGUCCUGUCUCCGACA